AAGGCUUGACAUGCUAGUGGUCCUUCAUCUUUCGAAUCCGUACCACUAGCAUGUCAAGCCUUGGUAAGGUUCUUCGCGUUGCAUCGAAUUAAACCACACGCUCCGCCGCUUGUGCGGGCCCCCGUCAAUUCCUUUGAGUUUUAGCCUUGCGGCCGUACUCCCCAGGCGGGAUGCUUAAAGCGUUAGCUGCGGCACGGGGGGGGUCGACACCUCCCACACCUAGCAUCCACCGUUUAGGGCGUGGACUAC
rnacentral:misc_RNA from 1 species